AGUGAACGCUGGCGGUAGGCCUAACACAUGCAAGUCGAACGGCAGCACAGUAAGAGCUUGCUCUUACGGGUGGCGAGUGGCGGACGGGUGAGGAAUACAUCGGAAUCUACUUUUUCGUGGGGGCUAACGUAGGGAAACUUACGCUAAUACCGCAUACGACCUACGGGAGAGAGCAGGGGAUCUUCGGACCUUGCGCGAUUGAAUGAGCCGAUGUCGGAUUAGCUAGUUGGCGGGGUAAAGGCCCACCAAGGCGACGAUCCGUAGCUGGUGUGAGAGGAUGAUCAGCCACACUGGAACUGCUACACGGUCCAGACUCCUGCGGGAGGCAGCAGUGGGGAAUAUUGGACAAUGGGCGCAAGCCUCCUCCAGCCAUCCCGCGUGGGUGAAGAAGGCCUUCGUGUUGUAUAGCCCUUUUGUUGGUAAAGAAAAGCAGCAGAUUAAUACCCCGCUGUUCUGACGGUACCCAAAGAAUAAGCACCGGCUAACUUCGUG
rnacentral:rRNA from 1 species